rnacentral:rRNA from 1 species
GACGAACGCUGGCGGCGUGCUUAACACAUGCAAGUCGAACGGAAAGGCCCUGCUUUUGUGGGGUGCUCGAGUGGCGAAUGGGUGAGUAACACGUGAGUAACCUGCCCUUGACUUUGGGAUAACUUCAGGAAACUGGGGCUAAUACCGGAUAGGAGCUCCUGCUGCAUGGUGGGGGUUGGAAAGUUUCGGCGGUUGGGGAUGGACUCGGGGCUUAUCAGCUUGUUGGUGGGGUAGUGGCUUACCAAGGCUUUGACGGGUAGCCGGCCUGAGAGGGUGACCGGCCACAUUGGGACUGAGAUACGGCGCAGACUCCUACGGGAGGCAGCAGUGGGGAAUAUUGCACAAUGGGCGGAAGCCUGAUGCAGCAACGCCGCGUGCGGGAUGACGGCCUUCGGGUUGUAAACCGCUUUCGCCUGUGACGAAGCGUGAGUGACGGUAAUGGGUAAAGAAGCACCGGCUAACUACGUG